rnacentral:rRNA from 1 species
AUUGAACGCUGGCGGCAUGCUUUACACAUGCAAGUCGAACGGCAGCGCGGGCUUCGGCCUGGCGGCGAGUGGCGAACGGGUGAGUAAUACAUCGGAACGUGCCCAGUAGUGGGGGAUAGCUCGGCGAAAGCCGGAUUAAUACCGCAUACGACCUGAGGGUGAAAGCGGGGGAUCUUCGGACCUCGCGCUAUUGGAGCGGCCGAUGGCAGAUUAGCUAGUUGGUGGGGUAAAGGCCUACCAAGGCGACGAUCUGUAGCUGGUCUGAGAGGACGACCAGCCACACUGGGACUGAGACACGGCCCAGACUCCUACGCGAGGCAGCAGUGGGGAAUUUUGGACAAUGGGCGAAAGCCUGAUCCAGCAAUGCCGCGUGUGUGAUGAAGGCCUUCGGGUUGUAAAGCACUUUUGGCGGGAACGAAAAGGACUGUGCCAAUACCACGGUUCGAUGACGGUACCCGCAGAAUAAGCACCGGCUAACUACGUG